ACUCCUUUGAGUAUAUAAACCCGCACCAAAAUCGAACUAUCACCCGUCCAGUAUCGAUUGAGUUGCUCCUGAUUUAUUGAAGUUACGGUUAAAGGCUUCUACGCUGAUCAUCAUGAGUCUUGUGAAGAGUCUUCUGCAAUUAGCUUUGGUCAUCAUUGCUAUCAGCAUGGUGGCAGCCAAAUACGAUGACAAUUGUAAUGUCUCCGAGGACGAGUGCCAACGGCGGUGUGACAGGGAAUUUGGAACAUCCAGUGAAAAACCAAAAGUUAUUUGCACCGAUGGCCAAUGCAACUGCACCUGGUAACCAAUGACAAUAAACUAUGAGCAAUGGAUUCUCUAUUUCUUCUAUGCAAUGGUUACAAAAUUUUCUUCUCAUUGAGUGUUAUAAAAUUAUCAAAAUUUUAAGAAGUUGGAUUAAUAAAUUCAAUAAUUACCAUGGA